CUGUCAAAAGUAGAAGUAGAUACAGGAUCUGAUGAUAAAGUGCUAUCCUCAUCAUAAUGCUCUGCAUGUCUUGUGAAAAAACUGUUCCAGCUUUGCUAUGACAAUGUUUAAAGAAAAAAUAGUGAAAUUAAUGAAAUUAAACAGAACUCCGACGCCCACUUUCAAGCUAGACGAAAUGGCCAAGGAACGUAGGCACCUAGUCCUCAGCUUGUCACUAUACCAUUGCUAGUAAAAUUUCAUAGGAUUGAUUUGGGCGCAAAUAAAAGGUUUCGCUUCCAAAAGAAACACGACCCCACCAUUUACGACGAACAAAAUGUUGAAGUUGCUGGACGAAGCCUAGCAUAACGACCCCAGGUGAUCGGAGAAAAGUUAUAGAAAAAACGCAAAGGACGAUACAGGCAGACUGGAAUAAAUAUAUCCGAAAAGACCGAAUUCACGUCCAGCAACUAAUUAUUACCGUUGGAGACCUGACAGAUUCAGACAAGAGCUCGUAGUCGUCUAGUUCUGACUGUAGCGAUUAAUAAGAUAAAAUAAAGGAUUAGAUUAUUAGACAAACUCUUAAUUUCAGCUUUCAUUUACGAGUGGUCCCAGUCGCCGGAAGAAAAAUAUUAAUUUUUUACGGAUCCUGCGACUGGGACCGCAGUUGAUGGAAGCCUCCUCAAGACAACUCUAUAAUUAUAACUUAUUAUAAAGAUAUGUAAAUGAUAAUGGCUUACCUCUGG